CAUAGCCACCGCCAAGGUUUCCUUCUCUAACCUAAACCCAGCAGCAAUAGAAAAGAAAGAAAGAAACAGUGAGGGUAGAGAAGGGAGAACGGGAGAGCAGAGGAAGAGGGGAAGAAGGGGAGACCAUAUGCAGUCAUCACCGCCGCGCCGCAUCGCUGCUCCGCUUCAUCGCCACCCCGUCCUGGAGCCCAAGUCCGCAUCACUAUCAUUCCUCCGCGUUUUUCUGAGCUGCCGUGGACAAGGAACCCCGCGCGAAAGAGAGAGUUGGCAACGGAGAAGCAGAUCGCGCGGAGGAGGGAGGCGUGGUUGCCUGUGUCGCCGCCUUGCUUCCAUCACCGUUGGAGCUUUGUUGCUGCUGCCUUUGGUUUGCUGUGACCGUAGAGGUCGCUGGAGGAAUAGCGAGAGUCAGAGGAGAGAGAGAGUGACGCACAGAGGAGAGGCCAUUCCUCUUCCGCCGCCGGUCGCUGCCAUCAUUAAUGGUGAGUCAGUUAAGCCCUAGCCAUGAGAACCACCAUCUCUGAACCCUUAUUGCUCUGUAAAAUACCCUGUAUUGGCCUCUGAUGUUCUUGUCUAUAUUGUGUUUGUUGGGGUUUGUCUCAAUUGGAGUCACUGGUGAAGGUGUUGCCGCUGCUGGAAGCUAACGUCGUGGCUGUUGCUAGUUCUGAUUCUAUUAUCUUGGACUGUUUCUGCCCUUGGAUCAUAUUAGAUUCAAAAUUCUUAUCCUGCCACAACCAUCAUCACCGCGAAACUAACAUUGUUGCUGUUGCAAUGGGUGCGGUGUUCUUGAUUUCAUUGGAAUUAUCACUGUUGCUGCGAAUUUAAAAUAAACGGAUUUAUCACGGUUAAUUUCUACGGAUUCGACUUUCCGAGGAACCAGAUGGAGAGGCAUUAAGAAGAGUUAUACUGUGUUUGGUUUAUAUGUUAUUGUAUUGAUUAGAUUAUUUUCUUCCAUCGUCUCUGUUAUUAUAAUUUUUGUAAGAGGGAUAGGAGUUGUAUGUUUUAUAUGUAUAUAAUGUUAUAAAAUAUUAUAUAAGAUGUCUUGUAUAUGAAUUUAUGUCGGUUUUUUUUAAGAUAAAGUAU